UACGAAGGGGGCUAGCGUUGCUCGGAAUCACUGGGCGUAAAGGGCGCGUAGGCGGCCGAUCAAGUCAGGGGUGAAAGCCUGUGGCUCAACCACAGAAUGGCCUUUGAUACUGUUCGGCUCGAGACCGGAAGAGGUUGGUGGAACUGCGAGUGUAGAGGUGAAAUUCGUAGAUAUUCGCAAGAACACCAGUGGCGAAGGCGGCCAACUGGUCCGGUUCUGACGCUGAGGCGCGAAAGCGUGGGGAGCAAACAGG
rnacentral:rRNA from 1 species